rnacentral:rRNA from 1 species
GACGAACGCUGGCGGCGUGCUUAACACAUGCAAGUCGAACGGAAAGGCCCUGCUUUUGUGGGGCGCUCGAGUGGCGAACGGGUGAGUAACACGUGAGUAACCUGUCCCUGUCUUUGGGAUAACUUCAGGAAACUGGGGCUCAUACCGGAUAGGAGCUCCUGCUGCAUGGUGGGGGUUGGAAAGUUUCGGCGGUUGGGGAUGGACUCGCGGCUUAUCAGCUUGUUGGUGGGGUAGUGGCUUACCAAGGCUUUGACGGGUAGCCGGCCUGAGAGGGUGACCGGCCACAAUGGGACUGAGAUACGGCCCAGACUCCUACGGGAGGCAGCAGUGGGGAAUAUUGCACAAUGGGCGGAAGCCUGAUGCAGCAACGCCGCGUGCGGGAUGACGGCCUUCGGGUUGUAAACCGCUUUCGCCUGUGACGAAGCGUGAGUGACGGUAAUGAGUAAAGAAGCACCGGCUAACUACGUG